rnacentral:lncRNA from 1 species
AGAAAAAUAAAUAAAGUAACCUUACUUGUUCUGCGAGUUUAGGCAAUGGUAUAAUAGGGCUAGGGUCAUUAACAAAAAAUGCCUCACUAUCUAUAGUAGCAAUGUCCAAAUCGGCAAACUCGCUAUGUUGGUCUUUUGCCUUCUUUAUUUUGUGCUUCCAUUAUUGUUCUUGAUAACCUUUCAUUGAGCUAGUGUCACCAUUAG